CGCCGCGUAGUGUACGUCGACAACAACGCCACGCGCCAGCGAGAGAGCGAGCGACCGCGAGGUCGCCGCGCAGCGGGAUAACGCCGUCGGGGAGCGUCGCGUCGCGGCUUGGGCUGUGGCUAAAUAUACGUGUCGGCGACGAUGUUACGCGCCCGAAAAGUGGCCGUCACCCGCGCCGGCCGAGACGAUGGGAGCCGCCCAUAUUGCCGCGCUUCUGUCUCGCCUCGUCGGUGGACGUCGAAGCGAAGGCAGGAAGGGACGUCGAAGGAGUGACAGCCCAAGCCCGCCACCCGAAGAACUCCAGAAUCUUGUAGUCUCGAAAGGGUGAGAGACCCUGCUGGCCAGCUCUGCUCCGGAAGUACAAGGCCAGAUCACAGCACGAGCCCAAGAGGUCGCCCUCAGCACCGACUGAGGGCCAUCUGGUAGGGUGGUGGAACCCAUCACUCCCAGUACCGAUAAUAAGGUAUUAAUGUUUUAUGACCGA